rnacentral:rRNA from 1 species
UGGGGAAUUUUGGACAAUGGGCGCAAGCCUGAUCCAGCAAUGCCGCGUGCAGGAUGAAGGCCUUCGGGUUGUAAACUGCUUUUGUACGGAGCGAAAAGGUCUGCCCUAAUACGGUGGGCUCAUGACGGUACCGUAAGAAUAAGCACCGGCUAACUACGUGCCAGCAGCCGCGGUAAUACGUAGGGUGCGAGCGUUAAUCGGAAUUACUGGGCGUAAAGCGUGCGCAGGCGGUUAUGCAAGACAGAGGUGAAAUCCCCGGGCUCAACCUGGGAACUGCCUUUGUGACUGCAUAGCUAGAGUACGGUAGAGGGGGAUGGAAUUCCGCGUGUAGCAGUGAAAUGCGUAGAUAUGCGGAGGAACAUCCGUGGCGAAGGCAACUGUCUGGGCCAACACUGACACUGAGGCACGAAAGCGUGGGGAGCAAACA